rnacentral:rRNA from 1 species
UACGGAGGGGGCUAGCGUUGUCCGAAGUUACUGGGCGUAAAGCGCGCGUAGGCGGGUUGGUAAGUCCGCUGUGAAAGCCCGGAGCUUAACUCCGGAGGGUCAGUGGAUACUGCCAGUCUUGAAGGUGCUAGGGGGAGAUGGAAUUACCGGUGUAGCGGUGAAAUGCGUAGAUAUCGGUAGGAACACCAGUGGCGAAGGCGGUCUCCUGGGGCAUUCUUGACGCUGAGGCGCGAAAGCUGGGGGAGCAAACGGG